AGUAUCCUGGCAUUCUUUGACUCCAGCUGCAACAACCUCUGAGUGCAAAGGUGUAAGAACAAGAAAAACACAUCCCUAUAUGACCAAGUUCCACCAGAUCUCUCAGGGCUGCAUCCUCUGCACUCUUCUUCAAUGUGAAAAUCUUUCAGAUUUGUGUUCAUUUCUAUAAUCUAGUAACUUUUAUGAGUAAGUCCUCACCCAGAAAGCAUCUUUUUUUUUUAAAUUAUCCUAACAGAAAUUAUUUGGCUUCUCCUAAAUAGUGCUAAUCUCAUUAAUAAUUAGAGCACCCUGCCGGCACACAUCCUGUCCACAACUAAAUGUGUUCAAGCUCUUUUCCUUGGCCAAUUGCACAUUUUUCAAAUCAUUCUCAUCUGCCUUUUUGUUCCCUGUUCUAAAUCUAAACAUAGCUAAAAGGAGCAAGCAAUAACCAUAGGCUGGAUGCUAUAUUACAUUAAAAUAUAGUCUAUGUUACAUUGAAACUUCCUUUGCCAAAUAAAUUAAUCCAUUUUUUUAACUCAAUCUCUCUCAAUGUUUUCAGGACAUGGGCAGAAUGUAGCCAGAGUCAUUGCAAGAAUCCAACAUGAAUGACUUCUAGCCUAAUCUCCAAUUGAGUUUCCAUCUGAAAUCUCAUGUACAGGACCCUCGCAGUCCACAAGCCUAUCAGCAUUUUGGAUUUCUGGAUUCUUAUCAGAAUCACAAAUAACUGUGCUUAUAAUAUUCUAGGGUGUCUGGAGCUUGCAGAUCCUAAUUUUUCCAAAUUCCUCCUACAGAUUUUAUUCUGAAGGCCCAAGAAACACAUGGUCAAGUUUAUGACAGCAAUAACCUCAUUUCUUGUACCAAUAUUUGCCUGAGAAGACAAGCAAUGAGGGGACAAGCAUGUGACAGUUUCUUGUGACAGCAGACAAGACACAGAGAAGCUAGACCAGAACCAGGAGCAGGUAUGGCUGACCUCUUCUCCAGGGUCAACUGUCCUUUAAGAAUUCACCAAGUUUCUCUAUGUGUUUCUUUGCCUCUGGAACUUGCAGCCUUUAUAGAUCUUGAGGGUGUUGAUUACAUGCUGUGAAAAGCAAGAGCCCUACUCAGGAGGGGAAACGGUCCCUUGGAAGCCACUACCAGAGCAUGGGCCUGAGACAGAACACACCUCUGGGAAUGCUUGACUGUUAAUGCACUAGGUCCUCGUGUAUGGAUCUCUGGGAGUCUAGAGGUGACCGAGGUAAACAGAAGAGCAAAAGAAUAAGGUGGCCUUACCUAUUGCAGUACUCUCACAUCCUGGCCGGGAAGCCUGCAAAGUCUUUAUUUCUGAUUCUAAAUCAAUAUAACCUCUAAACAACCAGGGGGAAACAGGUUGUGAAUACACAUGGAAGAAUGCCUACUGUGUUGACCUAUCAACAGGAAGUUGGUCUUCCUGAGUGAGAUCUGCACUAUUUGAAUGCUUGGGCUCUUGUUUUUGACAUUGGUCUUCCCACCUCAACUAACAACUCAUCCCUCACAGGUUUGCUCAGGUGCUGCUUUCCCAGAUGCCGUAGGAAGGUUUGCUCUGUGUGUGGACUUCCCCAACAUCUACAGAUAGAUCACAGCUGUGCCCAUUCAGAAGUUGUACUCCUAGGCUAUGUUCAUGCAAAGGAAGGAACUUUGCCAUAGUAACAGGUCACAGACACUGCUGUGUGGUGGCUUUGUUCAUGGUAUUCCUCCAGGUUUUUCUCCGGAUCCACUCAUACCCUGACUUGGCCUAUUUGGACUUUUAAAAUACUCCUUAAUCUACAUUUACAAGACUUCUCCAAAUACAAACUGAGAUCAGGCAUUCCUUUAUUUUGUGUCCAGUUUUCUGUACUGUCUUUCCCACUUCCCCUUCAAGCAGAGCCUCCUAUGAGGAGCCAGCGUGUCUGGAGAGUCCCUCAGUGCACUUCUUGACAGGCCUCUCCUCACGUCAGGACUCCAUCU